CCCCUAGACGUUCUGGGCUGCACGCGCGCUACAAUAAUACGCACAGCGAGUAUCACCGAGCUCGAAAGGGCAAGGUAAACAAUAGAAAAGGUACUGUAAUGGUUAUAGAUCCUUGUAACUAUUGAUCUUCAACGAGGAAUUCCUAGUAAGUAUGUGUCAUCAUCACGCACUGAUUACGUCCCUGCCCUUUGUACACACCGCCCGUCGCUCCUACCGAUUGGGUGAGCCGAUGAAACUCUCGGAUGUAGGCUAUUCAUAGCCCGCAGAAGAGAUUUGAAUCGUAGCGCUUAGAGGAAGGAGAAGUCGUAACA
rnacentral:rRNA from 1 species